rnacentral:tRNA from 1 species
GCGGGAUUCCCCAAGCCUGGUAUGGGGCAGGCCUGCUAAGUCUGUGGUCGAAAGGCCGCGUGGGUUCAAACCCCACAUCCCGCGCCA